rnacentral:rRNA from 1 species
UACGUAGGGCGCAAGCGUUGUCCGGAAUCAUUGGGCGUAAAGCGCGCGUAGGUGGCUUCGUAAGUCCGUUGUGAAAGUCAAAGGCUCAACCUUUGAAUGCCGAUGGAUACUGCGAAGCUAGAGUACGGAAGAGGCGAGUGGAAUUCCUGGUGUAGCGGUGGAAUGCGCAGAUAUCAGGAGGAACACCAAUAGCGAAGGCAGCUCGCUGGGACGUACUGACACUAAGGCGCGAAAGCGUGGGGAGCGAACAGG